UGAAGGCACUUACCCCAGCUGACGGCAUGUCACCAAUACAGCUAUGAGAUAGAUGACAGGUAUAAGGAUUGCUGAUAGCCUGAAAGGUAUUUUAGAAAGCUUAUUCAGGACACUGCUUUGAAGGGAGGAACAUCAUCUUCUCAUAUCUGAGAGCUGCAUUUGGACACAGCUGGGGGUGUUUCAAUCAAACUGCAGGCAGCUGGAAGUCUGGGCUGGUAGUGAGCAAGUCAGAAGUGUGUAUCCAGAGGAUGGCACUGCCUGUGUAGCAGCACUGAGUUGUGCUGCUUCCUUUGCAUGGCUGCUGGAGCUGCUGGAGCAUAUUGGACGCUGUGCAUGCUGGAGCAGGACUGCCUUCACGGGAGGUGCAGGUAAUGAACAAGUGCAAUUUUAACCACGCAGCAGGUGUUGUGUUUUCCUCUUAACAGUCACGCUGUCCAGUGAAACCAAAAAACUGCUUUGUGCAGGGAAGAGAACGGUACGGAAGCCUUGAAAAAGCUGAAACCCAAACUCGAGCAUAAUGCAAGGUCUUUGCAGAUCACAACAGGAAAAAUAAAGCUUUGUAAUGUGGUUUUAAGAGCCCUUGAGUGUAAUUCAACUCUUCUGUGCAAUCCCUUUUAACGUGACUCUGAAAUUGCUGAACCAGAAUAUAGCUGCUUUGCACUGGGUUUUUAGGCUGCUGUUUUGUUUCACUGUCCCUCUUUUUGCGAGGAUCAGAAAUUGCUUGUGUUCUAGGCUGGUGGCUCUGGUUUCCAGGCAGGUUUGGUAGGGUUGGGUUUGGGUUGCUGCUCUGUGCGCUAGGUAGUUUUCAAAACACAACAUGUUCUUGUGUUUAUUGCAAACAAAUCUCUCCUGCUAAUUACCUCGCAGAUAUUUUUAGUUUCCUUAUUGAUGCUUUUCUGAAUAAAUCAAGAAUAAACUUUCAGAAAAACACAGUGAGCAAAGACCUACAUGAGAGUCCCUUGGGCAAAAGAAUUUAUAUAAACCAGGCUAGAAAAAUACAUUGAACGACUUCACAGUUUGUGGAAGUAAUUAAGGCAAAGCACCUUCCCUAAGAAGUAAUGAGCUGGAUCACACAGCCCAAAAGCACAUAAAUCAUGCUGUGGGAUUUUGUGAGCUGCUGCAGAAGUUUGGGGUUCUUCUCCUUGAGUCAAGAGUGCUCUCCUGGGGAGGAAGCAUGACUUGAAUUCUGCAAGCACAACACUGCUCAGCAGACAUUUUGCUACAGCGUAGAGUUUGAGCCUCUCUGUAGAGACCAGUUUUGUGUUUCUGUCUGCGCUCCUGUUAUCUCUGCUAAGCUUCCAGCUGUUACUGUCUUGUUUUUUCAGUCCUACUCUGUCUGCCUGACCAGGAACCUGCCACUACCAUAAUAACCAGACCCUUUAGGGCUGUGGUGAUGGGCCUGGCAGAUGCACUUGGUUUAGAUGUACAAAUGAACCCCGUCCUGUGUUAGCAGGCAGAGGGAGAAAACGGCAGUGUUCUCCACCCCAUCUCAGCGCAGUGCUCUUAGUGAUGAAAACUCUCCGGUAGCCCACAGUAACUGACAGAAGCAGCCUUAUCUCCAGCUUCUCCAGAGCCUUAACGCUUUCCUUUCAAAUCGAAGCUUAUCUGCUAAUUGGUUUGACCCACGAUUCACCUGCUCAUUAAAGAAGUCUGCUGGUUCGCCCAGUCUGAGGACUGAAAGGUAAUGGUGACUCUCACCCGGCACUGUGACUGAGGUGGGUUUUUUUGUUCCUGGGAAACAUGCAGCAACAUUCAUUGUGAAACCCCCACGAUGCCAUUAAUGAAGAGAUUUUUAAUCCUCAUAAAUCAGAACGCCUUUAUUUGAUAUUUAAGGGCGAGUGAAGGAUAUUAAAGUAUCACUGAAGAUAGCAAUAAAAAGAUGAAAAACAGCCCUGCUUGAUAAUCCAUUUAAAGAUUUUCAGAAGGGAUUGAUAAUUAUCCCAGCAUAAUAGCUUAAUUUCAGCAGGCUUUGCAUCUCUUGACUUUGCAUUACUUUUGCAUCUAUGACUUUUGAGGUAUUAUUUUUAGAUUAAUUUUUUUCUUUUUACGAGGUUUCAAAUUCUCACACUUGAAGACAAGUCUCUACAGGUCUAAAUGGGGCUGUGGUUCCCAAGGGGAGGCUCAUUAGAAAAGACAUUGUGGGGCUGUCAUAACCAGAAUAUUCACUUCAUCUGCAUCCUGCAGGAGCCUCUGCAGUUUGUCAUGCACAGACCUUACAAACCUAUGGGAAAGAUGCAAAAUUCACCCUUUAAGGAUGGACUUGAAGGAAGACGGGAUUUAUGCUGGUUGUGAUGGUAGAACAACAAAGGCAGCACACUGUAAGAGCAGAGCUUGCAUGCAAUGAAAGGUCAGUGUCUUGCAACACUGGGUCGUGACAGCUGGAUAAAAAGAAGGCAGUGGGUGUGUAUUCAUGUGUAAAAGGGUGUGUAGGCUCAUAAAAUUGGAAUCAAAACGAAAAAUGUGCCUGGAAACAAGGAACCCAAGAUUUCAUUAAUUCUUGUUGUCCUGUGAAGUUUGUAGGUAAAGCAUAUGCCCAUUUCGUGUAGAGGUAAAUAUUGAUAUUCACCUCAUCCACCUCAGCACUGGAGAUCAGAACAGUUGGAGAUUUGCACGUGGUCAGAGAAGAAACAGUCCACAAUAUCUGUGUUUUGAAGGAAAUUAGUGAAGGUGGUGGGUCACUAGUUUUUUAUAACUUUUUGGAUUAAAGUUCUUCUCGUUUGGCUUUGGGUAAAGCUGCAAUUUCUCAAGGAGAGCAAAUAAGCCACAAACAAAUGUGAUUAUUGAGGAAUUCAGAAGUAACUGGGCAUGCAAGAAAUCGCUCCCAGCUUUUCCGUGCUCGUUCAUCGUCGUGCUUCGGGAAUAAGGAAGAGGAUUCGUUGCCCGGGUCCUCGCAGCACACAGCCAGCCCCGUGGCUCCCCGGUGCCGCCACCGGGCGGGGGGCACUGCCGCCAUCUCCCGGCAGCCCGGAGCCGGAGCGCAGCUCCCACCCACCCGUCCGUGUAGCUGCAGCAGCACAAGGAGCCGUGCUGCUGGUCUCGAACCCUGUGGUUGUGUUUUUUAGCUUGAGAAAAUCCUUUUUUUCCCCCUUUUUUUUCUUUUUUUUUUUUUUCAAUAGCACUACUUUGUAAAGCGAGGGGAGGCAGAUGGAGAGAAGCGGCAAAGAGCAAAGCGGCAGCAAAGGUCUGCUGUGAGGAGCAGGGCUGGAGCAAGGAUUGGGGGACAUUAUCUGAGAACAUCUCUGCCAGGACACUGCUAUAGGACAUGCUGUGUGUCAACCAGUCUUUCGUGCUCCAGGCAGAUGUUUUCAAAAUCAAUUGGAAAUUUUAUUUCCAAAAUAAGAGAGCACAGCGUAGAGGUAUCUACGACUUCAUAGCACAGACCUUCCGCUGGGCUGAGAGGAGCUGCAGUAAUGGACAUAGAAAUGGAGAUGGGAUUCGUGAUGAUUUAUUGGUUGAAGAAGAGGAAGUGAAAUAAAGGAAAGGUUGGCAAGAGCCCCAGGAAAUGCUCUGAUGUGAAGUAUAAAAUGAGUGCAGUUGGAAGCGUGUUUUCAUUGUCUUGCAAAAAAAAAAAAAAAAAAAAAUUAAAGUUCUCUCCAAUGUGUUCAGCCACUCCUCCCCACAAGUAAAUGAGAAGUUCUACCAGGAGGCAUUGUGUCCCACUUCAUUUCAGCACUGUUGUGAUUUUGGCAUUUUUUGCCCCUUACUGCCUCUGCUCACUCUCAGCGUGAAGAGUUCAAGCCCUGGUCUUUAUUUUGGGCCCUUAAAGUGAAAGGAAGUCUCUUAAGCUCAUAGGUUAGAAAAGAGCACUAAGAUCAUCUAGUCCAACCAUCAGACCAUGCCCACUCCCAGCAAGGUCUCCCUGAUGGGAUAGCUAUGUCCUUGCCCCAAGAAUGAAAGAAAAGGAAUCAGAGGAAUCAGCCCAGAAACAUCUCUCCUCCACCUAAGGAAGUACUGCUUGGGGAUAAGUUUCCAUUACGAAAUAGAAUCACAAAAACCUAAAGGUUGGAAAAGACCAUGAAGAUGACCUAGUCCAACCACCAACUCUCCCUCCCAUGCCACUAAUUAUGUCCCUCGGUGCCACAUCUCCCCAGUUCUUGAACACCUCCAGAGAUGGUGACUUCCUCACCUCCCUGGGCAGCCUGGGCCAAUGCAUUACUGCUCUUUUGGAGAAGAAAUGUUUCCUAAUACCCAACCUGAACCUCCCUGGUACAGCUUGAAGACAUCACAUCUCAUCCUAUUGCUGUCAUCCAGAAGAAGAGAUCAACUCCUACCUGUUCACAGCCUCCUCUCAGGGAGUUGCAGAGACACUGCUUCCCUCUCCUCACUGGUGGGAUAAGACAAGUGUGCAAAUAUGACACUUUGAGCUAAUAGGAAUCUUUUCAAAUCUCUGUAAGGAAAUAAAUUCCUCUCUUGUAAACGUAUAACUCUACUCUGAGGUCACUUCUAUGAGAACUAGAUGGCAUUCACUCCUUACAAAUUCAGAAGCCAGGUUAGAGAUGGAUCAAGGCAAAGCAGACAGUGCUUUCCUCUUAGUUGCGCUGUGGAUGAGGCUGCCAGUGGUUUCAAAGCAGAGUGAUUUCUAAAUCUACUGUGAAAAGUGCUAGAAGCCAUCAUAUCUAAGAGGCUUUUCAUUGCUGAUUGCAGCGUUCCCCUGUGCAUGGUUCACUGUGGCCUCUGGGACAUGGAAUUGCUGCCUGUGUGUGGAGCUGAGCUGCACACUCUUCUAUGGACUGUGCUCUUCAAUCCACGCAGGAGGUGGUGGGUGCUCUUCUAGCUUUUGACCACGAAAGCCAUCAGCCUGGAGAAAGAGUUUGUUUUUGUUGUUGAGCUGCCAAACGUGGUAGUCAAAAGGAGUCAAAGGAUGCUAAGGUUGGGAACAUCUCUAGCCAUCCAUCCAUCCACCACCCGUGUUUUUAAUUCAAUUACAUCUCAAGCAUCCCUUGUUUGCCAGUCUGAGGCCAUGCUCAGAGCUAGCAGGUGAAGGGGCUGCUCGGGUGGUUCAGAUAGUGCCAGGAAAGUCUGAGGGAAGCAGAGUUGAUUAAGUUCUCCCUGGAGCAAAAUGUCAAGAUAACAGCCAGCUGCGUUGUGCUUUACUUCUUUUUCACCACCGGGAGGAGCUGGCAGAAUGGGAUCCCCAGAUGCCCCAUGUGUCUGCUCUCCAGACUCAUUUAAACUGGGUGGAAACAGAGAUGUCUGGUCUGUGCUGGAGCCCUGUGUGACUUUGGGGGCUCAGGGCACAGAGCAGUUCUCUGCAUGUCCACGUCCUGCUGUGCUGCUCUCUCGGUACACAGAGGGCAGAUUUCCAACCCAAGGUCUUGUAUUUAAACAGCAUAUCAUGUAGGUCUGGGCACGGUAGAACAGUCAGAAACCAAUGUAUGCUGGGCAAUCUGUAAAUAUCAGAGGGGUGUAAAAUCCAUCCAAAAGCAAAAGUCAGCCUUUAGCCAAGAGGGAAAUGCACACACAGGACUCCCAGCUGUGUGGCCACUCCUGACAGCAUUCCUGCUUCAGCUCCCAGCCCCAUUGCUCACUGUGCAGUGUGACCAGACUGCUCUUCUGAGCAGCCAGGAGUGCUGGAAGAAAGGCUUCCACACCUUUCUGAGUGUCAUGGCUCAGCUGUCCCACAUCUCUCAGCUAAGAUGAGGGUAGAGAAGGAUCACUGAGGCCACCAAUUUAAAAAGCGUGAUAUGGAUGUGGUUGGCAGAGAGUGACAAUGCAGACUCUUCUCUGUCAAGAUGGUGACUAAGAGACAAUUGUGAUUGAGAUGUCUAUUACAGAAUUAGAUCAGUUCCGUCAUUCAUUCUAACUCUUUGUAAAUAAGCGGAGUUCAUUUCUGUGCAGCAUGGAUGAAAAACAUACACACUAUCUUUGGUUCAGAACGUGGAUGCAAACAUUGUAUGGACCUUCACUAGAAGUCUUUGGGGAGAACAGCUUUCCAGAAAGUGUUUGGGGAUGGAGCAGUCAGCAUUGUAUUUUGGAAGCAACAGAGGAAUGGGGCUGUCCUCUCCCUGAGCUAGAAUUUGCUUCUGAUAACAUAGCAUCCUUUCGUUACCUUCCUUAACCACAAGAGGCCAUGUUGUUUCCUAGUGUGGAGGCAGCACGUGUCCAUUACCGAAAUGAAAGAUAGCAUCGCACCAAGAUACCAGUAUCACUUCCUGGAGCCUUUGUCAACUUCUUGAGCAUUUGCUGUUGCCCUUGGCCACUUCAACAUUUAGAGCUACUCCCCCUGUAACAGCUAUAGUAACAAGAUUUAUUCAAGUUCUGUUAACUUGUGCUACAACUUUGAAUGUCUAAGGCAGUUUAUGAACCUCCACCUCUGCUUAGAUACCAAGGGAGCAGUAUCGUAGAAUCACAGAAUGGCCUGGGUUGCAAAGGAGCACAGUGCUCAUCAGUUCCAACCCCCUGCUGUGUGCAGGUCACCAACCAGCAGCCCAGGCUGCCCAGAGCCACAUCCAGCCUGGCCUUGAAUGCCUGCAGGGCUGGGGCAUCCACAGCCUCCUUGGGCAACCUGUGCCAGUGCAGUUUAGUUCAUUCGUGUUUUGUCUAGACCUUUGAGGCUAGGAUUUGUUUGUCUGUUUGUUUGUUAGUU